rnacentral:rRNA from 1 species
UACGUAGGUGGCAAGCGUUAUCCGGAAUUAUUGGGCGUAAGGCGCGCGUAGGCGGUUUUUUAAGUCUGAUGUGAAAGCCCACGGCUCAACCGUGGAGGGUCAUUGGAAACUGGAAAACUUGAGUGCAGAAGAGGAAAGUGGAAUUCCAUGUGUAGCGGUGAAAUGCGCAGAGAUAUGGAGGAACACCAGUGGCGAAGGCGACUUUCUGGUCUGUAACUGACGCUGAUGUGCGAAAGCGUGGGGAUCAAACAGGAUUAGAUACC